AAGUCGUAACAAGGUUUGCUUCGGGGAUCAAUAACCUGCAGAGAAGCCUUGAAUACUCAGUCUACCAGCGUAGGCAACAUCUUCACUGUGCUUGGAUACCAUCCAGCGUAACAUGCAGCUGCUGACAGCAGUUCACAGAUCAAACGAAGGUGGUCCAAGAAUUUGGAUUCAGAUAUGACCGGCCUACCCCUGAAAAGGCUGUAGACCUUGCGUUCCGUAGGUGAACCUGCGGAAGGAUCAUUACAGAGAAAUUGCCCUUCGGGGUAGAUCUCCCACCCUUUGUUUAUAUUACCUUUGUUGCUUUGGCAGGCCCGUCUUUUGACCACCGGCUUAGGCUGGUCCGCGCCUGCCAGAGGAUCCCAAACUCUUGAAUUUUGUGUCGUCUGAGGAAUAUCAAAAAAUAAGUUAAAACUUUCAACAACGGAUCUCUUGGUUCUG
rnacentral:misc_RNA from 1 species